UUGAAGGUCAAUGUAGUUUAAAAAAUGAAGGAACUGAGGCUUGGUGGCUACAUGAGGCCAUCUGUUUCUGGCUGGGAAGGAAAAUGGGGAGAGCAGUUAAACACAUAUUUCCUAGUUCAUUACAGAUCCUGCCUUUAUCUACUUCACAGAAGAGUGCUGAGGGCAUCUAAGAGGACAAGUACUGGGAAGUCUUUUUAGAAAAACAAAAGCAAGCAGACCAAUAUCCAUCUUCAUUUGAAUGUAUAUUCUCUAAAAAGAAAAUGAUAAUAUCAGAAGAAAGGACUAAAUACAG
rnacentral:lncRNA from 1 species